CUGGAGAUGGCUCUUCAGAGAAGGAGA
rnacentral:piRNA from 1 species